rnacentral:rRNA from 1 species
UACGUAGGUGGCAAGCGUUGUCCGGAUUUACUGGGCGUAAAGAGCGCGCAGGCGGUCGUUCAAGUCGCGUGUGAAAGCCCCCGGCUCAACUGGGGAGGGUCACGCGAUACUGAUCGACUCGAAGGCAGGAGAGGGUAGUGGAAUUCCCGGUGUAGUGGUGAAAUGCGUAGAUAUCGGGAGGAACAUCAGUGGCGAAGGCGGCCAUCUGGGACAACACUGACGCUGAAGCACGAAAGCGUGGGGAGCAAACAGG